AUUGAACGCUGGCGGCAUGCUUUACACAUGCAAGUCGAACGGCAGCGCGGGCUUCGGCCUGGCGGCGAGUGGCGAACGGGUGAGUAAUACAUCGGAACGUGCCCAGUAGUGGGGGAUAGCUCGGCGAAAGCCGGAUUAAUACCGCAUACGACCUGAGGGUGAAAGCGGGGGAUCUUCGGACCUCGCGCUAUUGGAGCGGCCGAUGGCAGAUUAGCUAGUUGGUGGGGUAAAGGCCUACCAAGGCGACGAUCUGUAGCUGGUCUGAGAGGACGACCAGCCACACUGGGACUGAGGCACGGCCCAGACUCCGACGGGAGGCAGCAGUGGGGAAUUUUGGACAAUGGGCGAAAGCCUGAUCCAGCAAUGCCGCGUGUGUGAUGAAGGCCUUCGGGUUGUAAAGCACUUUUGGCGGGAACGAAAAGGACUGUGCCAAUACCACGUUUCGAUGACGGUACCCGCAGAAUAAGCACCGGCUAACUACGUG
rnacentral:rRNA from 1 species